AGGAUAAACGCUGGCGGCGUGCCUAACACAUGCAAGUCGAACGCGCUUUCGGGCUUCGGUGCGAGAGCGAGUGGCGGACGGGUGAGUAACACAUGGGUACCUACCUUGGAGUGAGGGAUACCGGCGAGAAAUCGCCGACAAUACCGCAUAGGCUUCUUCACAAGGGAAGCAAAGUGACGCGAGUCACGCUGUGAGAUGGGCCUGUGGCCGAUUAGCUAGUUGGGGGGGUAACGGCUUCCCAAGGCGACGAUCGGUAGCUGGUCUGAGAGGACGAUCAGCCACACUGGGAUUGAGAACGGCCCAGACUCCUACGGGGGCAGCAGUGAGGAAUUUUCCGCAAUGGAGGCAACUCUGACGGAGCAACGCCGCGUGCAGGAGGAAGGUUUUCGGAUCGUAAACUGCUUUUCUCGGGGACGAGCAAGGACGGUACCCGAGGAAGAACGCCCCGGCUAACUACGCGCCAGCAGCCGC
rnacentral:rRNA from 1 species